rnacentral:rRNA from 1 species
AUUGAACGAUGGCGGCAGGCUUAACACAUGCAAGUCGAGCGAGCGGCGGACGGGUGAGUAAUGUCUGGGAAAAUGCCUGAUGGAGGGGGAUAAAUACUGGAAACGAUAGCUAAUACCGCAUACCAUCAGAUGUGCCCCGAUGGGAUUAGCUAGUAGGUGGGGUAAUGGCUCACAUAGGCGACGAUCCCUAGCUGGUCUGAGAGGAUGACCAGCAACCCUGAACCUGAGACACGGACCAGAUUCCUAGGGGAGGUAGCAGUGGGGAAUAUUGCACACUGGGCGGAAGCCUGAUGCAGCCAUGCCGCGUGUGUGAAGAAGGCCUUCGGUGUGUAAAGCACUUUCAGCGAGGAGGCGUUACUCUCAGAAGAAGCACCGGCUAACUCCGUGCCAGCAGCCGCGGUAAUAC